AUGGCGGCAGUGCAAGGCCUAGGCAAAGAGCGUCCGCUGUACAAGGACGCGUCGGCGCCGGUGGAGGCGCGCGUGCAAGACCUGCUGGUCUGCAUGACGCUGCAGGAGAAGGCAUGCCAGAUGGCCCAGAUCGAGCUCUCUAUGGCGUCGUCCCGCGCCCUCACGGAGCUCGGCGUCGGCAGCCUCCUCAACGGCGGCGGCAGUCUGCCCUGGGAACGCGCAUCCCCGUCCGACUGGGCUGGUAUGGUCGACGGCAUGCAGCGCCUCGCCCUCUCGUCCUGCCUCGGCAUCCCCAUCAUCUACGGCAUCGAUGCCGUCCACGGCAACAACAACGUCAUCGGCGCCACCAUCUUCCCCCACAACGUCGGCCUCGGAGCCUCCAGGCACAUUACAUACCGAUCGACCACGUUGAGCAAUAUAGUAGCUUUUUGUACGUUUACUACGUUGACCACGCCCUACAUACAUGCUCCAUUCAUUUCCUGCAGGGACCCGGAGCUUGUGCGAAAGGGCAAACCCUAUUUGACGCUGGUAGCUAGCUCGGCUGGUUGGCUCCCUUGGAUCCACAAUGAGGUCGGCAGUUCGAUCCCAACUUGUGCGCCUCAAUUUCGAAUUUUUGCUCGACGUGUGCUUAUUGGGCCAGCCCGUUUGCGCUUCGCUUCAGCGAAGCCGCGUCGCUCGGACGCUCACGGGCGGCGUAUAGGAGCUCUCGUGCGAAAGAUCGGCGAGGCAACAAUGCUCGAGGUUCAUGCCACCGGCAUGCACUGGACCUUUGCCCCCUACGUCGCCAAGGUAGAUGCUCUAGUUGCUGCUUGGCUGCCUGGAAGUGAGGGCAUGGGAGUUGCUGAUUGCCUCUUUGGAGACCAUGAUUUUGUGAGCACGUUGCCUGUAACUUGGUUUAGAUAUGAUGAUCAACUACCUAUAAAUAUUGCAUGUGCUGACUAUGAUCCAUUAUUUCCUUUUGGAUAUGAGCUGAAAUGUUCAAAAGCCUUGGAGAUUUAG
rnacentral:rRNA from 1 species